AGCGACAACAUUUGAAUUUGUAAAGAGCGCAUCAGUCAGCGCGGGAUUAGCUGUUUACGGUCACUGGACUCGCUGCUCGGGAUGGAGAUGAAGAUCACCAAAUAAAGGCUUAGAUUUGGGUCUGUUUCUCGCAGUCCAUGGAUUCAGAAGAUUUGGAAUACAGCGCAUUUGAAACUUCCUGAAUCACAAAAUGAAUUGUGCAACAGUAUUAAUGUGAUUGAAGACUCCAGGCCUUCAAAAGAGGUGCAAAGCCUGCCGCUACAAAUAAAAGUUGCAAUGCAUUCAAAACAUCAAGACAUGGAUGUCCAGAAUAAAGGGAGAAAAGAUGAGACAAAUUUCUCUGAACAGCUGCAGAAAUGAAUCAAUUGUGAGUCAGUCCUUCUGUCAUGCCUUUCCGGUAUCUUCACCCUCUGUUAAGAUUAUAAUUCAGCUUGGCAGCUGAACUAAACGAAUGGAGAGCUGUGAUGUUUGUAAUGACAUGCUUUGUGAUUUAGUAUUUUCUAUAUAUCUCAAUUCUGAUGUCCAAAUCCAACUCCCCCACAGAUUUUUCUGUAUACAUCAAAUGAUUAUCUGU